CAACCCCUUGUUACUUGUUUAAGUGUUUUGACUAAUUUGUUCAUUCAGGGGUAUCAUCUCUGCAUGUGCUAUUUGCUUUUGCAGUGCACCUCUUGUCUUCUUUAUAUGUUAAAUGUAGCCAUAUUUUGAAGAUAUGUUUUUAGUUAAUUAGGCUUUGAGAGAGAGCUGUUUUUAAAGGAGUUUCCACUUUCACACUCAGAUCAAAUAUGCAACAAAACAAACAAUUACACUCUUAGGUGAACACACAAAUAAUAUGCUUAUAUGUUUCCA